UACGGGGGGAGCAAGCGUUGUUCGGAUUUACUGGGCGUAAAGGGCGCGUAGGCGGCCUCUGCAAGUCGACUGUGAAAUCUCCGGGCUUAACCCGGAACGGUCAGCCGAUACUGCAGGGCUAGAGUGCAGAAGGGGCAACCGGAAUUCUCGGUGUAGCGGCGAAAUGCGUAGAUAUCGAGAGGAACACCUGCGGCGAAGGCGGGUUGCUGGGCUGACACUGACGCUGAGGCGCGAAAGCUAGGGGAGCGAACGGG
rnacentral:rRNA from 1 species